ensembl:ncRNA H19M22.7 ncRNA
UGUGUGUGUGUGUAUUUGUCGGUUGCGGAGCACAACGACUCAAGAAGCACAAGAAAUGCAGCUCGGCGAGCAGGAGCGAUGAGCAGAAGCUUCGCCCAGGAGCUAGAGACCAUACGAGUGCAAACA